GGAGAGGUGACUGAGUGGCCUAAAGUGCCGGUCUCGAAAACCGGUGUCGGGGUAACUCGACCGUGGGUUCGACUCCCACCCUCUCCG
rnacentral:tRNA from 1 species